AUCCGAUGUUUGAUGCCGGGGCCGAUGAAUGAGUUUUUAACUGGCCAUCUGGAGCUUGUGAUGUAGCCUAGGAGAUGUUUCAAGUAAGUCAGAAAUGUUUAAUUUUUAAGUUUACGAUAUAUUUGUAUUCUACUUAUUAAUACAUACUUUGAUUUUAUCUUAUAAGAGUGCUACCAAUUCGAGACUCCUCAAGAUAAGGAGACUGACCAUCGAACCUUUGAUGAGGUGGCCAUACAGAGACUUCGAGAUGGCCUCUACAGCUUCAGAUAGUGCACCAUCAAGCAUUUCGGUUCUCAGUCACCAUUGGACUGGAGAUCUUAUAGAGAUCAUUGGAUGCGGACGGAUGUAUGGGAGGCCCUCUACAAUUAGUGGAGCAGCGAAGAAUACUCUAGUAGGCGACAGAAGGCCCGACAGAAUUAGAUUUUCCAGCAGGUCAGAUCAUAUCAGGCACACGGAUGACUCUGUUGGCACACAUGUUGUGGCUGACAGAUUGGUAAGAAAUCUAUAUCAAAACUCUUGAGUAGAACUAUAAAUAUUUAUAUAUAUAUUUUUUAAUUAAUUUAAUUUUAUUAUUUACUAUUAUAGAUAUGACAGCUAGGCUAUCCACCAAGCCAGCUGUGGUUGUGGGAGGCCACACACCAGUCCAGGA
rnacentral:lncRNA from 1 species